CGGUUUCGACAGCGCUGCACU
rnacentral:miRNA from 1 species